GCGGGCGUGGCGGAACUGGUAGACGCGCAAGACUUAGAAUCUUGUCUUCAUUGGUGCAGGUUCGAUUCCUGUCGCCCGCA
rnacentral:tRNA from 1 species